GGUCUGGGGAGAGAUGGGUUCUGAGUCAGCAAGAGAGCUGCGGCUGGAAUAAAGGCUGUGAAACUCCAUACUAAGCGCCUGCAGUGCCUGUUGACUUCAGCUGAAGUCCUGAGUGCUUAGCAUCUGUGAAAAUCAAGACUUUAACCUAUUUGUUCUCUAAUACCCCAUCUGUAAAAUGGGAAUGAUACUUGUCUAAAGUGUUUUGCGAUCCUCCAAUGAAAGGUACAACAAAAAUGUUAUCCUCCCAGGUGCAAUGCCAGGACCUCUGCCAUUUGCUGCUCCAAUAUUUAAGCUGUGUUUUUGCCGGCAGACUGCCUGAAACAAUUGCUCAGAGGUGUGGACUCUGUCCUACUCAUCUCAAUGAGAUAUUAACUCUAAGUAUGCCCAACGGUGAUCCUUUUAAAUGAUCGUUCUCAUCAAAGCACAUAAAGGAGGGGGAGGGUCAUAUUAUGAAGAUCUACACAAUCUGCUGUGAGUAAUAUCUCAGUGUGGCACUGCCAGUUGGUAGCAUCUGAUAAAUACCACUACUUACUCCCCACCCCUCGUCCCCCUCGAAAAGGAGCCAAGCCCAAGGAGCCUAGCAGAGGUCAGCUGGAUGUCUGAGUCCAUUACCAAAAUAACAAGAAAAUAGCUCCCGGUGAUAGUGUUAAACAGAAUGGUCUAAUGGUUAAACAAAUGGACUAUAACUGGUUUUAAAAUAACACACAUUUUAACUGGAAGAGAGAUUUGAAACAGCUUUGAACUACAUACAUGCAAUUAGUUAUUCUUCUGCCAGCUGAAUAAGUUUAAGAAGUUGAGAUGGCCCUAUUUGAUGUGGACACAUGGAUGGGGAGCUCUCAGUGAAGGUAAUUGAAUACUUAACAUUUCCAUGCAGUUCUGAUACAGUAACUCUACAGCAUCCCUGUGCUUAAGCUGAGGUUAGGGUUGCCAAUUCUGGUCAGAUGUAUUCCUGGAGGUUUCAUCACAUCCUAUGAUCUCAAAUGAAAGAUUAGUCUUUAAUUUUUGGAGACUCCAGGACAAUCGUGAAAGGUUGGCAACCCUAGCUGAGACCAUUCCAUUUCAGUACAAUAGAAAACAAAUCUUAGUAUAUUCCACACAGAUGAGCAUGAGGUAAAACAUUAAUAUAUCUAGAAAUGAACUUUGGGAUUUAGCAAUAUUACAUGCAUAGGCCUCCAAACUAAAACGUAGUGGUAAAAUAUGUGUGGUUUUGUGAUUAGGACUGGGAGUCAGGAAAGUAAGCUUUUAUUCCUGGCUCGGCCAGACUCAUUACAUGAGCAUGUGCAAGCAACUUAACCAUACUGCACCGCAGGUGCCCCAUCUGUCCAAGUUUAUAUUUACUUCCCUCAUAGGGUCUUGUGAGGCUAAAUUAAUGUUUCUAAAACACUUUGACAUAUGAUGGAAGAUGCUGCAAAUGCACACAGAAUUAUUGCUAAGGAAAAAUGGAAUGUGGACUAAUCUCUCCAAUUUAUUGUACCCUCCCCACCCAAAAUGCAAAAGAUACAGCCCACACAUGUAUUUUAACAUUCUAAAGAACAACCUCCUAAGAAUUCAAUAACAAUAGUUACAGCUAAUCAAUCAAAGUAAAUUUGUGUGACAGUUUAAUACAAUUUGUAACUUUUUUUUUUUUAAGAAAUGUGACUAAUCCCUGGUUUCUGCUGACCCAAAUUAGGUCAGCAUAGCAGGCAUUUAAAUGAUACAGUAACCGAGGCCCACUCCAAUAGAAAAUGGUGGCAGGGUAUUCCCUGGGGAAAGCAAUGAACAAAGCAUCUGAAGAGACAAAGGGAAACAAUUUUUUCAUUGUUUUAUAGAUGCAGUUGCAAAUCAUGAACAGUCUUCUUUCACAGCAAGUGGCUUUGGGGCUUCUGGGAAUUAGUGGCCAGUAGAGUAAUUCUCUGGGUUUGAUUGUUGAAGCAUUUUCCAAUGACAAUGGAAACUUUGAAGAGACUUUAAUUUUACAUGGGGUAGGGGGGAAAUGGAAGCAAAGUGCUGUACUAUAUAGGCUGAUUCUCAGUCACCUUGAUCAUGUGUUCACCUUGCAUAUCCAAAUAGUAUGUGCUUGAUUCAUGAGCUAUAUUAACUAGA